rnacentral:rRNA from 1 species
AACGAACGCUGGCGGCAUGCCUAACACAUGCAAGUCGAACGAGACCUUCGGGUCUAGUGGCGCACGGGUGCGUAACGCGUGGGAACCUGCCCUUAGGUUCGGAAUAACUCCCCGAAAGGGGUGCUAAUACCGGAUAAUGUCUUCGGACCAAAGAUUUAUCGCCUUUGGAUGGGCCCGCGUUGGAUUAGCUAGUUGGUAGGGUAAAAGCCUACCAAGGCGACGAUCCAUAGCUGGUCUGAGAGGAUGAUCAGCCACACUGGGACUGAGACACGGCCCAGACUCCUACGGGAGGGAGGAGGGGGGGAUAAUGGGCAAUGGGGCGAAGGCUGAACCAGCCAUGGCGGGGGGGUGGUGAAGGGCUUAGGGUUGUAAAGCUCCUUUUCCCGGGAUGGUAAUGACAGUACCGGGAGAAUAAGCUCCGGCUAACUCCGUG